GGAACAUCCACAGUUCAGAGGAUCUGGGUUUCCUGGCUUGGGAAGGCAUCCUCCUUCCAGGGUUUGGAGGAAGGGAAAUAGUCCCUUCUGCCACAAUCCAAAGGUUCAGGCUGAUCUGCCUCCGUGUCUACUUAAUUUAAUUUAAUUAUGAGAUUUAUAUGCCACCCUCUCUCCCUAAGGACUCAGAGCAGCUUACAAUGCUAAAAAACAUAUAAUAAAAAUGUUAAAAAUAAAUUAAACCCAGAGAAAUCUCAUAAUCAUAAAAACUAAAACAACAAUAUCAGAGUCUUUGCAAAGUGGCACCCUGGAUACAUUUUUUUUAAAAAAAGCCCACAAACUUCAAGAUUUCUUAAGUUUCAAGACAAACUAGCAUAUCCUUUGUAAUGUGUACCCGUGGUGGAAGUGGUACAUGUUGUGUUAAUGUCCAAUAUUUUUUUUCCCACCCGUUGCAAUUAUCUUUCAUCAGUGGUUGUGAUCUACUGUUUUUGCUUUUAAUCCCUGCAAGCCACUCUUGUGGAUAUUUUUCAGGAAGGUAAAUUGUAAACAUAUUAAAUAAUGAAAGGUUCCUGUCAGUGCUUUGCAUUAUAGUUUUCUACAUUGUUUCAUCUUAGCCUGCAAACUGGACAUACGGUAAUUCCCAAAGAAUCCAGUCAUGGAGGGGAGAAAUGCCUCAUUCUUCAAGAUGGCUGAAAGGGUCUCUCCUUGCAAUUCUACUCCCAUGAAUGAAAGUUGCUUUGCAGAUUCAGAAGAGUGCUUGAAUUUAUUUGGACAAACGGCAAGAACUCAGCAGGACAUUCUGAAAGAAGAAACCACACAUUGUGUUGUCCAUCGUUGCCCUUUCAGGGAGUUCUGUUGCCAGGAUGCUGAAGGACUCCAAGAGGUAUGCAGCCAACUCCACCAUCUUUAUGAUCGGUGGCUGAGCAAAGAGGACCACAGGAAAACUCAGAUGAUGGAUUCAGUGGCCCUGCCCCUGGCUACCCUGUCCCAGAUGGAGAACUGUGGCUGGAUGUGUGGAAUAGAGACCAGCUCUCCAGAAAUGGGUCUGGCUGAAAGCUUCGUCUUGAGCCAAGUGGAACAGAAAAUGCAGCAAAAACAGCAGGUUCGUGCGCUGUUCAUGGAGAUGGCCACCCAAGGUUCUGAAGCAUUAAGGGGGGUGUCACAUCUCCCUCCAGAAAUUGUCUUCGGGAAGAUAUCCCAGGAGGAUCCAUCUCAGGAGACUUCAUCAGAAAAUGGAACAAUGGUGAUUGUACCAAUGAAAAGGUCUCUUCUUUGUGAUGGUGCAGAAACAAGGGUUGUAAUUCCCACUCAGGUAGGAGGAUCUCACCUCCCAAAGUGCAAAAUGAUUUAUUCAAGGAACAUGAAACGUUC
rnacentral:lncRNA from 1 species